rnacentral:rRNA from 1 species
AGCAACGUCCAUACCACGCUGAAUACACCAGUUCUCGUCUGAUCACUGAAGUUAA